rnacentral:lncRNA from 1 species
AGUGAGGGUUGGCGUGUGUCCUGCUGUGGUGUCCUACUGCAGUGUCCACUGGUGUGGCUGCUGAUUGCCUGGUAGCUGAUGAAAGAGACUGAUUGGAAGGUGUGAUUCCACCAGCUCCGCUUAUCACUGGCACCGUGUGGACCCCACUGGAUGAGGAACAGUGCUGUAGCUGUGGCGAGCAGGUGGGAGAUUGGUCGGUUGGUCCCAGCUGAACCUCACCUGAGACUUCUGAGAUGGGACAAGAGGAGCACGGGGUGUGUGUGGCUCCUCCUGGGAAAAUGGAACAGAGCAGGCCACAAAGAAGAGAAUUUUGGACCCCAUAAGAUGUGGGGAAGGCCCUGACAAGAUGGCUUGAACUGGAUCAGGGAUCAGAGUGCUAAACCCGUAAGCUACCUACCUGCUAAUUGAGCCUGGGUCCUACCAGAUUGACUAAAUUUGAUAUCACAGUUUUGAUAUUGUUGCCAUUUGUUCAGUUUUCAGUGUUCUAAUUUAAAAAAUUUAUUGGUGCACAGAAUUGAAUUCGUUGUUUUGCAAGACACCUCACCCGUACAUGGGACAGUAAUGGCCUUGUGGUCUCUUCCACUGAGGAUAGCCAAGCUAGUUGCUCUGCUAGAAGCCACUUGUCUAAUUAAGUAAAAAGUGCACAAUAGCUAACAAUUAAACUUUAAUUAGCCAUUGUUUCUGUUAACUGUACAGUUAAAUUUUAAUAGGAGGAGGGGUAAAUGGUCUCAUUGAGUUAAAUUAUAUUUUCUCUAAAGCAAAUUCUCCCAAACUUGUCCUAAUUGGGAGAGAAAGGAAAAAAAAGAAUUAUGAACUCAUUCCCAAACCAAAAAUUGUAGUCUAGGAAGUACACUUAGAAGCAAAGUGGAAAAAUGUUUUGCAUUAACUGACCC